UCUGGAAUUCGCAACGAUCCUCCCCCCUCGGCCUCCCAAGUGCUGGGAUUACAGGCGUGCGCCACUGUGCCCGGCUCAAAUCUGCAUUUUGUGCUGUAAUUCUUUGUCACUUAUUGUCUUCAGUAUUUCCACACUAGGUAAAAAUCUUAUUAGAAAUCCCUGGGAGUCUAAUCAUCCUGAUCUUUUGUGUUGUCUCGAGUUCAUUUGUUGUCUAAGUGAACAUUGAACAAGCAGACCAACAGGGAGAUGACUGAUCGAUUUCAGUCCCCGGCAGAACCUGGAAGACUAUGAGAAGGAACAGAAGGGCACCUGUGCUGCGGAAGUCAGUGGUGAAACGCAGGGAAGCUGUCCUGUGUGAGACAGCAUGGCCCUCCGAGCACUGCAAGAUGUGAACACAGACGCACCAAGGGUUUACUGCAGGAUAAACUGUGGAACUUCCUCCUGGAAAACUACACCUGGCUUCACUUGCUCACCUCCCACCAUCAGCUCUUGUACGUCAAGGCCUCACCACUCCACAAACUAGCCGUGCGUAUCACCCUCAGCCCUCCUCAGAAGAGAGCCUUGGCACACGAGCUGCACUCUAGGACACCCUGAAGCCUGCCAGUUUCCGAUGACGCUGCCCCUCCCACCGUGGCACGCCUCACUUCCUGCCCCUGCUCAUUCAGUCCCGCAUCCUCACUGCGGCCCUACAGCGCCCCGAGGUGAGGGGACCCGUGACGCUGGUCACUCAGGCGCUGCUGGGAAAUCACGGUCCUAGCUCCUCCCUCCUGGACUCCAUACUUCAGCUCUUCACAUCAGCAGGGAGAGGGAAGGGUCCUCGGCCCCUUGUCCUUCUCAAUACACUACACCACUGCCCACCGCCUCUGCUCCUAAGCCGACAAUGUAACCGUGCAGGACAGUGCUGCUGGCUUAGACUACUCACUGCUCAGCAAUUUAAUCACUGUUAUCCUAGACCUUCUCAAGCCCCCCAGACAGUCCUGGCCGCCUACGUUCUUUGCCAAUGACCACAUCGAACCGCAUCUAAGCACCCAAGAACUCUUUCCUGUCCUGACAGCUCUUGUCUGUACUUAUCCAUCCUCUUCUAUCUUGAUUCCCGGGUAGUUUUUCCUCUUUAAGGUAGCACAACCUGCACACGCCUGUAAUCCCAGCACUAAGGAGGCUGAACCCGGAGCAUU